rnacentral:tRNA from 2 species
GCGGGAAUAGCUCAGCUGGUAGAGCAUAACCUUGCCAAGGUUAGGGUCGAGGGUUCGAAUCUCUUUUCCCGCU